rnacentral:tRNA from 1 species
GGCCCGCUAGCUCAACUGGCAGAGCAGCUGACUCUUAAUCAGCGGGUUAUAGGUUCGAGUCCUAUGCGGGUCA